CCUUAAAGUACAAUAAUAUAAUGAGGACUAAUAAGUUUCUAUAAACUCAAACUUUAUGGCGGCAAAUGUAAACUACAGGGGAACUUACUACAUAAAUGAUAAUCACCAAGACAAACUACCUUAACUAAAAAGUUUGUAUACCGUCGUUAUAAAGAGGCCCAUUAAGAGUUUCUAGUAUAUAUUAAACUAUAAGAUAACAGAUCAAGGUGCAACCUAUGCUAAGGUUGUCAGCGAGUUACAAUAAAUAUUAUUUCCCACAUAAGGAUUAAUUAUCCCUAUAAAGAUGGACUUGUAAGUAUAUUAUAUUAUAAUUAAUUAUAGAAUCAUUACACUAUAUUUGUGU
rnacentral:rRNA from 1 species